rnacentral:rRNA from 1 species
UACGUAGGGUGCGAGCGUUAAUCGGAAUUACUGGGCGUAAAGUGUGCGCAGGCGGCGGAGCAAGUCGAGUGUGAAAGCCCCGGGCUGAACUUGGGAACUGCGCUCGAAACUACUUUGCUGGAGUGUGGCAGAGGAAGGUGGAAUUCCAGGUGUAGCGGUGAAAUGCGUAGAGAUGUGGAGGAACACCGAUGGCGAAGGCAGCCUCCUGGGCCGACACUGACGCUGAGGGCACGAAAGCGUGGGGAGCAAACAGG